AUUGAACGCUGGCGGCAGGCCUAACACAUGCAAGUCGAGCGGAUGAAGGGAGCUUGCUCCUGGAUUCAGCGGCGGACGGGUGAGUAAUGCCUAGGAAUCUGCCUGGUAGUGGGGGAUAACGUCCGGAAACGGGCGCUAAUACCGCAUACGUCCUGAGGGAGAAAGUGGGGGAUCUUCGGACCUCACGCUAUCAGAUGAGCCUAGGUCGGAUUAGCUAGUUGGUGGGGUAAAGGCCUACCAAGGCGACGAUCCGUAACUGGUCUGAGAGGAUGAUCAGUCACACGGGAACUGGGACACGUUCCAGCCUCCUACGGGAGGCAGCAGUGGGAAUAUUGGACAAUGGGCGAAAGCCUGAUCCAGCCAUGCCGCGUGUGUGAAGAAGGUCUUCGGAUUGUAAAGCACUUUAAGUUGGGAGGAAGGGCAGUAAGUUAAUACCUUGCUGUUUUGACGUUACCAACAGAAUAAGCACCGGCUAACUUCGUG
rnacentral:rRNA from 1 species